UUGUGGAAACGGAUGGUCGCUGUUGUUUUUUAACAAUAGAGGAAAGUCCGGACUCCUCGGAGGAGAGUGCCAGAUAACGUCUGGCGGCACAGUAUUGUGUUAGGGAAAGUGCAACAGAAAGUAUACAGCCUUCGGGUAAUGGUGAAAUGGCGAGGUAAGAGCUCACCGCGCAACUGGUAACAGAUUGCGGCACGGCAAACCCCACUUGGAGCAAAAUCAAAUAGGAAUAAUGCGGCCUCCGCGCUAGAUUAUUCGGGUAGAUUGCUUGACGUUUGUGGCGACGCAAAUGCUAGAUGAAUGGCCAUCAGGAUGAUACAUCCUACAAAAUCCGGCUUAUAGUUUUCACAAAAAC
rnacentral:RNase_P_RNA from 1 species